UAAUUCCUAUCUGAAUCAGUUCCAAAGGGUUCGUUUUUUUGGUUCAAUAACCGGCUACAUACCCAAACCAAUUAUUCCCGAAACCGGUUUCUGACCACUGUGACCAUACUUGUACCAGACGAUUAUUUAUAUAACAUCGCUGCUCCGUGUUGGUUUUCUGAUGACAAAGUUUGCCUUCCUUAACUUUAGGAACCAACCCCCAAUAUGAGGACCAAACCCCCCUCAUGAAGAUUUAAUCCGAGAUGAAGAAUUUAGAAGGUGCACUUGAGAGAGUGAAGGGGGUCGCUAGAAGCAAAAACUGAACAUUAAAUGCUCACAAUAAUCCGGUAAUGUUAGCACACACAGAGGGUGAUGUUAAUGAUCUCAGUGUUCAAAUUCGUGAACUGAAGGUAUAAUUCUUCUUAUCUACUUAAAAUGACAAUUGCUUUUCGGUUUACCUGUUGAUACGGGUCAACCUGAUUUGAUUACAGGGAGAGCUAAGACAGAUUCUAUAUGCAUAUGUGUUAA